rnacentral:lncRNA from 1 species
GGACUAACUCGAUACCAAACUCCACUUCCCUCACUGGAGACAAUCUGGGCAAUUCCUCUGGAAAUACGUCUGUAAACUCACAUACCACCGGAACUAACUCGAUCUUCAAUUCAGAUGCUUGAGUAUUCAAUACAAAGGUGAGGUAAGCCUCGUACCCUUUUCUUUAAUAUCUUUCUGCUAUCAUAAAUGAUAUCACUUCAGGCAAUCCACCCAAUUCACCUAGUUCAACCCGAAGAACAUUCCCGUCUUCAC